GACGAACGCUGGCGGCGUGCUUAACACAUGCAAGUCGAACGGGCCUUGUCCCCUUUUUUUUUGGGGGUGGGGUUAGUGGCGAACGGGUGAGUAACACGUGAGUAACCUGCCCCUCACUUCUGGAUAACCGCUUGAAAGGGUGGCUAAUACGGGGUGUUCUGGCCUGCUCGCAUGGGUGGGUUUGGAAAGAUUCGACCGGUUUUGGUUGUUUUGGGGGGGGAUGGGCUCGCGGCCUAUCAGCUUGUUGGUGGGGUGAUGGCCUGCCAAGGCUUUGACGGGUAGCCGGCCUGAGAGGGUGGGCGGUCACACUGGGACUGAGACACGGCCCAGACUCCUACGGGAGGCAGCAGUGGGGAAUAUUGCACAAUGGGCGCAAGGCUGAUGCAGCGACGCCGCGUGAGGGAUGGAGGCCUUCGGGUUGUGAACCUCUUUCGCCAGUGAAGAAGGUCCUGCUCUUUGUGGUGGGGUUGACGGUAGCUGGGUUAAUGAAGCGCCGGCUAACUACGUG
rnacentral:rRNA from 1 species